rnacentral:rRNA from 1 species
AGUCAUAUGCUUGUCUCAAAGGUUAAGCCAUGCACGUCUGAGUAUGAAUGUGUUGAUAUUGAAACUGCGAAUGGCUCGCUACAAGAGUUUUUGUGCGUUUGGUGCUUUAUCACCUGGUUACCAGUGGGAACUCCAGAGAUACUACAUGAUAUACUGUUCAUUUGCGCCAGAUGGGCAGUGGUUGCCAGAAUGGAAGCCACUCACGUGCUGUGCGCGUGGAGGCCUUGACAUGCGGCAUGUUCUCACAUCUUGUGUCGCGUCGCUUGGACUAGCCAAAGCAAUUCCUCACCUAUCAGCUUCGGACGGUAGGAUAGUGGCCAACCGUGGCAGUGACGGGUAACGGCGGAUUAGGGUUUUAUUCCGGAGAGGGAGCCUUACACACGGCUACCACAUCUAAGGAGGGCAGCAGGCGCGCAAAUUACCCAUUCCUGACGCAGGGAGGUAGUGACAAGAAAUAGCAAUUCAAGGCGAUCAAGUUUUGUGUUUGCAAUGAAUAGAUCCCAAACAACUUUUCAAGAAUCAAUUGGAGGGCAAGUCUGGUGCCAGCAGCCGCGGUAAUUCCAGCUCCAAAGGCGUAUGUUAAAGUUGUUGCGUUUAAAAAGCUCGUAGUUCAGUAGUCGCCGUUCAGCUCUAACACUUCCUGUGGAUGAUGUUAGAGAAGCUUGGUGCUCUCGACAGUCCGCGUGUUGCACUUAAUUUUGCGAACCCGAGCUGCCGCCACGUACUUCGAAGAAAUUAGAUUGUUUCACAGCGGUUGUAGCUAAUAAUACCAAAGCAUGGAAUAACAAUGUUGACCUUAGUUUUUGAUUUGUUGGCUUGUCUAUUAAAGGUAAAGGUCGAUAGGGACGGGUGGGGGCUUUCGUACUUGACAGUCAGAGGUGAAAUUCUUGGAUUUGUCAAAGACGACCAAAUGCGAAAGCAUUCGCCAAAGAUGUUUUCAUUGAUCAAGAGCGAAAGUUGGGGGAUCGAAGACGAUCAGAUACCGUCCUAGUCUUGACCGUAAACCAUGCCACUCAGGGAUAAAGGGACGUUAUGGGCGACUUCUUUGGCAUCUUGAGAGAAAUCAGAGUUCUUGGGUUCCGGGGGGAGUAUGGUCGCAAGACUGAAACUUAAAGGAAUUGACGGAAGGGCACCACCAGGAGUGGAGCCUGCGGCUUAAUUUGACUCAACACGGGAAAACUCACCAGUUCCAGACAUAAUCAGGAUGGACAGACUGAUCGCUUUUUCUUGAUUCUAUGGGUGGUGGUGCAUGGCCGUUCUUAGUUGGUGGAUCAAUUUGUCUGGUUAAUUCCGUGAACGAACGAGACCUCAGCCUACUAAAUAGCUACACGUACACCUGCUUAUGAGGAUAGCUUCUUAGAGGAACUCUGUACUCUCAGAACAGGGAAGAUUGAGGCAAUAACAGGUCUGUGAUGCCCUUAGAUGUGCUGGGCUGCACGCGCGCUACACUGGUACAGGCAAUCGGUGGGCACCCGAGCUUGAAGAGGGAAGGCGAUCCUGCAAAACGGUACCGUGAUAGGGAUCGGUUCUUGAAAUUUUCAAUCUUGAACGAGGAAUUCCUAGUAAGCACGAGUCAUUACCUCGCGCUGAUUGCGUCCCUGCCCUUUGUACACACCGCCCGUCGCUCCUACCGAUUGAGUGAUCCGGUGAAUAAUUUGGAUGUUGGCGAUGUUCUUGCACUAGAGCCCCGCUUUCAUAAGGCUUGUAAACCUUAUUACUUAGAGGAAGGAGAAGUCGUAACAGGUUUUCC